rnacentral:rRNA from 1 species
CCUACGGGUGGCAGCAGUGAGGAAUAUUGGUCAAUGGGCGCGAGCCUGAACCAGCCAAGUAGCGUGAAGGAUGACUGCCCUACGGGUUGUAAACUUCUUUUAUAAAGGAAUAAAGUGAGGCACGCGUGCCUUUUUGGAUGUACUUUAUGAAUAAGGAUCGGCUAACUCCGUGCCAGCAGCCGCGGUAAUACGGAGGAUCCGAGCGUUAUCCGGAUUUAUUGGGGUUAAAGGGAGCGUAGGUGGGAUGUUAAGUCCGUUGUGAAAGUCUGCGGCUCAACCGUGAAAGUGCAAUUGAUACUGGCAGUCUUGAGUACAGUAGAGGUAGGCGGAAUGCGUGGUGUAGCGGUGAAAUGCUUAGAUA